UACGUAGGGGGCAAGCGUUGUCCGGAAUCAUUGGGCGUAAAGCGCGUGUAGGCGGUCCGGUAAGUCGGCUGUGAAAGUCCAGGGCUCAACCCUGGGAUGCCGGUCGAUACUGCCGGGCUAGAGUUCGGAAGAGGCGAGUGGAAUUCCUGGUGUAGCGGUGAAAUGCGCAGAUAUCGGGAGGAACACCAAUGGCGAAGGCAGCUCGCUGGGACGUUACUGACGCUGAGACGCGAAAGCGUGGGGAGCAAACAGG
rnacentral:rRNA from 1 species